AUGAACCGGCAAUGGAUGUACGGUGACAGACACACCUUCGAGUACAUUACGGGCGUGCAUGAUUUUCUCGAAGUGGCUGAGGCAAACAAGCAGAAUGGUUUUAUGUGUUGUCCAUGCCCUACAUGUGGGAAUACGAAGUCUUACUCUGACCGAAAAAUCCUUCACACCCACCUGCUUUACAAGGGUUUCAUGCCACACUAUAAUGUUUGGACGAGGCACGGAGAAAUAGGGGUUAUGAUGGAAGACGGCGAAGAAGAAGAGGACGAUGACAACUAUGUGCCCCCUGAAUACGGUGAUGCUGCAACGGGGGAAGCUGCUAAAGAUCAAGAGGAACCAGACGAUGUGCCCAAUGAUGCUGCAACGGGGGAAGCUGCUGAAGAUCAAGAGGAACCAGUGCCCGAUGAUGAUGAUCUCCGCCGGGUCAUUGUCGAUGCAAGGACGCAAUGCGAAAGUCAAAAGGAGAAGCUGAAGUUCGAUCGCAUGUUAGAGGAUCACAAAAGAAGGGUUUUACCCCAAUUGCGAAGAUGGCAACACAAAGCUCGGUACCGUAAUGGAAUUGCUGCAGUGGAAGGCAAAGAAUGCUGUGUCUGGCAAAGGAUUUGA
rnacentral:rRNA from 1 species